UCAAAGACUGAGCGCGGGAGGGGGGUGGGAAGAGGCGGGGCCGGGACGGAGGCGGGCGGGGCAUCCAAAGUCACUCGGGAAGUUGCGUCCCGGAGAGCCGGGAUGCGGCAGUCGGGGAAUUUUGGAAGGGGGGGGGGGGGGGGGGGCAGACCCACUUUCUGGGGUGCGCCCUCCUAUCCUGUAAGGAGAGGGCUCCUGAUGGAAAAGGCGUGGCGCUGGGUUUUAUUCCCGACCCCCCGUGUGGUUAGCACACUGGGAAGUGUGCGCAGCUAGUGGGUCCGCUAAUGAGGUCACGAGGCGGAUCUCGCUUCUCAGAAAUCCUGGAUUCAAAGUCCUCAGGUCAUCUAGCCCCGGCGGUUCCACAGCCCUUGGAGGACUGGUACCCUGAGGACCUUCUGCAGGUAUCCGGUGGAUGAACACAGCUGGAAUCAGUGCUACACAACAGAGGGGAGCAAGAGAGGCGCUUCCCUGAGGACCGGAUGUGAGGGACAAGUAGCAGCUAACAGGCUCCCACCUGCCCCGGAACCAGAGCCCAGGACCCUUCUGCGGACACACAGGCUCCGAGGGAGCAGGUGCUGAGCCGCACGAGCCCCCCUCUCCAGACGCCUUGGCCUCCAGGC